GGUUCCCAAGAGCCAUGUGUUAUAAGCCUUCCCUGCAAGAUAAGUGAAUGAAGCUAAUUUUGGAGCUGUCUGCUGAACCUGAAGGUCAACAGUUAACCCCCAGAAAUCUCCCAUGCUUCUUUGGGGUUCAAAGCAGUUCAGGUAUGGAUGGUGGAAACAAAUUACCGGAGGAACUUUGAGGCCCAUGAGAUGGAACUACUCAGAAGCAGCUCAGGAUCAGACAAAUACAUUUCCUGAAGACACAGUUCCCACUUUGACUCCCUGGGGAUUGGGUGAGAAACCAGGAGGAGAACAUGGAGAUCAUGGAGAGCAUGAGGGAAGGGGCCUGGCAGUAAAGAGGAGGAACGUGGCUCAAUUUCCCCCGCCUCUUCAUCGGGUCAAGGUCUGGUAAUGCUGAGGGAAAUUGGAGAGAACUGAAUAUGGCAGUGGCCAAGA